ensembl:lncRNA
AUGAGUGUGCGUAUAAGAGAGUAUUUAAAGAGGGGAGAAGAUUUAGCACUUGCAGUGAUUCUUCUUGCAGUUUGUGUUUUGUUUGACUUCGUCAUGCAGCAAAUCUACACACAGAGCCAUGAAGAGUUCGAGGUGUUCACCACUGUUCUGUCGCCUCAAGUUUGUCAGAAGAGAGUGAUAUUCAAGCACCAAGGAGAAAUGAUGGUUGUGGCAGCAGACUACAGCGCAGACUGUGAUGAAGAGCUGAGUGUCCGUGCCGGUGAGGUUGUGUUGCUGCUGUAUCAGGAGAAUGCUGACUGGUGUUAUGUCCGACUUCAGAACGGAAAGGAAGGAUACCUGCCCACAGCCUGCUUCACUACGGUACUCAUGCACACAAACACGUACGAUGCACAAAUGAUAAACUACAUAGCGCACAUGCUGCAUUUUUCACUUCAAAACCAUGUGUGUUCCCUUGUGGAAAAAGUACACUGUAGCAUACUUUUAAAAAGAAUAUUCAUUCUGGAAAUAAUAAAGCUACUUCAAUAUAAUAUACUUUGGUGCAAACUGUAAUAUUAACCGCAUGUUAUUUGCAAUUAAAUGAAAACGUAUAAUAGUUAAAAUGUAUAUUAAAUGCAACUAUUUUAUCUUAAGAGUGUAUUUUUGGACUCAGAUAGGACUUGUUUAAUUAUGUAAUUUUUUCAAAUACUUCUGUUGUCUUUUUGUAAUAUGGUUAAAGUGUGCUUUCAAAUUUUCUGACAAGUAUUUAUGCAAGCUAAAAUACAUUUUAAAGUAAUUUCUAUUGUAACCUGAAUGUUAUGAUCCUAAAUAUAUUUGUUAUGAUGAACUUGAAAUUUUGUCAAUUUAAAAGUAUAUCAACUUGAAAUAUAAUACACAAAUAAUACAUGUGCUUUAGAAUGUUAGACAAUACAUCAAAAUAAGUGUACUUUAAAGCACAACAAAAGAUUAUUAAAACACAGUAAUUUAAUAUGUACUUUUAAUUUGACAUUAAAUUGGACACUUUAUUAACAUAAUGCUUAAUUAUAAUGAGAAGUCAUGAAAGUAUAUGCUAAGUACAGUAAAGUGGUUUUUAUUUAAUUAAUAUUGUACUAUCUGCAAUAAUUUAAAUUUUUUUAUUUUUUUAUUUACUUUUAAGAUUUGAAGUACACUAAGUGCACAUAUAAUUAUGCACAAUUCUUUUCCACAAGGGUUAAUAGGGAGUUGGUCCUCACAUUGCUGCUGUAACAGCUUCUUGUCUUCUAGAAAGGCUUUCUACUCCAUUUGUUUCUACAACCUUCAUUUUAAGACGAUUAUUUAUAUAAUUUGCUUUAGAGUGUCACUAGGACGUAUCAAUUUCAGAUGUCAAGAUAUUGCUUUUUGCAACUUCUCCGAGAUGCUUGGAACAUAAAAACUGGAAACCUAAAAUUAAUAUUUCCUACUGGCACACUACAGUUAAAUAUAUAAUGACCUAUCUUAAAACUAAUGUAUAUAUGUGUGUAUAUAUAUAUAUAUAUAUAUAGAAGCAGGAGUCAUUGAGGCCCUAUGUAACUCAGCCAUCGCAGAGCUUUACACAAACGUCAUCUAAAGAUCGGAUUGGCUGCUCUGGGUGAGUAUUUAUGAUGUUGUGUAACUCUGAUUUGUUUUUGUCGUGUUGUGUGAUCACUGGUGUUUGUAUCUCUAGAGGGCGUUCUCUGAAUCUGCUGCGGCGAGCGUCUCUGUCAGGAGUGCCAGGUUCACCUCGGUUGCUUCAGCGGCUGCUCUCUCGUCGACGUAGUGAGGGACAUGCUGUACGUUCGAUCGGCUCCAUCAAUCAUGCAUUUCAUCCUGACUGAUCCAUCUAACCCUAGAGCUCCAGUUUUCUCUUCUAAAUGGGUCACAGAACAUCAGAAACUAGGACAAGUCUGACACCAAAGUUCAGUCUGCAUGCAACUCCUUCAGAUUUGGAGAUAAAACUGACUUUGGUGUCCUGAUUAGGGUUUGGGGCCUCGGUAACUUCGUUGCCAGUUCCUAGCACUGAAACUGUUAACUGGUGUUAAGAAUCUUUACCAUUACUGCCCCGUGUAAAUAUGUGAAUACUGGUAAAAAAAAAAAAAAAAAUGUAAAGCCCUGCAAGUUGCUUUGGAUAAAAGCGUCUGCUAAAUGCAUAAAUGUAAAUAUUGUGAUUUUUUUUUUAUCCGAAAUUUCACACUCUUCUUCACCUAUGAAUGUAUUUAAUAUGUACAUGUUUUGACUAAUAAUACAGAAAGACUACAAUGAGAAAUUGUGAUUAUGUGUAAGUUUGUGUAAUAUAUAUAUAUAUAUAUAUAUAUAUAUAUAUGUAAUUUUAUAUUAUAAUGAUAGUGUUGCCAAAGUUAAUACCAACCCAAAAAAGUAUAAAAAUAAAAUUAUUUUUAAUCUAUAACAAAACACAGAGAAAACGCACUUGCAGAAAACCAUUUACAAUGGAAGUAUUAAAGUAUUAUGUAGUGUAUGUAAGUUUUUGUGUAUAUAUUUUCCAUUUUUCCUUUUUUUUUCAUUCGACCCUGAAAGUAUAAAAAUGAAUAAAAAAAUAGAAUAAAAAUAGAAUAAAAAUGAUACAAUGUAAUUUCAACCACACCUCAGAUCAUAACUUACCACACCACAAAGUAUCUAAACUAAACUAAAUUAUUAUUAUUUAUUAUUUGCCAUUUUCGAUGGUAUGAAUACUGUUAAAUGAUGGUUUACCCUUGAUGCUCUUUCAUUUUUAUGGACUUUUUAGCUUGUAUUUUGAGGACGUUGGCACAUAGCUCUGACUGCUGCAAAAUGUAAUGAAAUUAAAAGUCAUUUUGUAAUUCACAGGCUUUAAUGAUCAUCCCUUCAUCAGGCUUAACUAGGAGAAAAUAUCAACUCUAAUUUGGUAAUACGUUACAAUUAGGUUUAAUUUGUGAAUGCAUUAUGUAUUAUGAACUAACAAUGAACAAUUUCAUUUAACUUCAGAAUUUAUGAAAAUGAAAAAACGUACUAUUGUAAACAUUUAUUCAUAAUAGAUUAAAGUUACAGUUGUUUUACAACCAAAAAUAUGAAACAUAGUACUAUUAAAUUUUUUAAAGUAAUUAUAUUCAGCAAGGAUUCAUUAAAUUGAUCAAAAAUGACAUUAAAGGCAUUUAUAAUGUUACAUAAGAUUACAAAUAAAUGAAAUUUUCUUUUCAUUAAUGAUAUUUUUUCUCUUUUUUGCAUUAAGUGGCACAACUGUUUUCAGCAUUGAUAAGAAAUGUUUCUUGAGCACCAAAUCAUAUAAAAAUGUUUUCUAAAGGUUCAUGUGACACUGACAACUAGACCAAUGAUGCUGAAAAUUCAGCUUUUUCUUAAUGGAUAAAUCUAAAAUUUAAAAAUGCAAUACAAUAGAAAAGUUAUUUAACAUUGUAAUAUAAUAUUACAAUAUCACCAUAUAUAUAUAUAUAUAUAUAUAUAUAUGUGUGUGUGUAUAUAUAUAUAUAUAUAUAUAUAUAUAUAUAUAUAUAUAUAUAUAUGUGCAGGGGCGAUUCUAAGAUUUUGAUUUUAGGGGGGCUCAGCCCGCAAUAAGGGUAUGAUUAAAAAUAUUAUUUUACUAUUAGGGUAGGGUUGUAUACUACUAACCUUAUUGCAAUCCACUAUUCCAUUGUAUUCCCUGUAUUUCAUAUAUGGGAGUAGGAGUACUGACUGAGCCAUAUAUAACACUGUAAAAAAAACUAAUACAGUUUUUUAGAUGUGACCAGUCACUGGAAAAUUUUGAAUUGGGAAUGUAGAUUUUUUUAUUUAUUUUUAUUUUUUUUACAAUAAAGACUUCCUGAUUCAGUAUUAGGACAUUCAUGUUUAUCCUUUGAUGAUACCACUGCUUUUUCUUAUGAAAUGUACGUGGAAAUUGGCAGAAAAUUAAAACAACAUAAGGGUUCAAUGACUGCAAUGAAUCUUGGGAACACAGUGGUAUUGUGUGUGUGUGUGUGUGUGAGGCUGUCUGUUCUAUUCUCACCUGACUGUUGCUCAUUUGCAGACCUACUCCCGCACGACAAAAAAAAUGUUGUAUAUCCAUCUACAAUGAAAUAUAAAUUAUUUUUAUUUUUAUUAUUAUUAUUAUUAUUAUUAUUAUUAUUAAUUUUUAGCUUUUUAGCCUUUAUAAUCAACAAUACGGUUGGUUAUACAUCAAGUCAGCCCCUGAACAUUUAUUUCAUUUCAAAUCAUUUAACUAACCAGCUAAUAUUCAUUAAGAAUAUAGACAAAACAUGUAUUAAUGUAAUUGUCUAUUGGCAAUAUGUUUAAUCUGUUCUAUAUUUA